rnacentral:rRNA from 1 species
AUUGAACGCUGGCGGCAGGCCUAACACAUGCAAGUCGAACGAGUGGCGGACGGGUGAGUAAUGUCUGGGAAACUGCCUGAUGGAGGGGGAUAACUACUGGAAAAGAUAGCUAAUACCGCAUACCAUCAGAUGUGCCCAGAUGGGAUUAGCUUGCUGGUGGGAUAACGGCUCACCAAGGCGACGACCCCUAGCUGGUCUGAGAGGAUGACGAGCCACACUGGAACUGAGACACGGUCCAACCUCCUACGGGCGGCAGCAUUGGGGAAUAUUGCACAAUGGGCGCAAGCCUGAUGCAGCCAUGCCGCGUGUAUGAAGAAGGCCUUCGGGUUGUAAAGUACUUUCAGCGGGUAGGCGUUACCCGCAGAAGAAGCACCGGCUAACUCCGUGCCAGCAGCCGCGGUAAUAC